rnacentral:rRNA from 1 species
AAUGAACGUUGGCGGCGUGGAUUAGGCAUGCAAGUCGCACGAGAAACUAAUUAGCUUGCUAAGAGGUGGACAGUGGCGCAAGGGAGAGUAACGCGUGGUUACUUGCCCUCGAGACCGGGAUAGUGUCGGGAAACUGGCAGUAAUACCGGAUAACAUCUUCGGAUCAAAUGGUGUGAUUCCGCUCGAGGAUAGGACCGCGUACUAUUAGCUUGUUGGUGAGGUAAUGGCUCACCAAGGCUUCGAUGGUUACCGGGUGUGAGAGCAUGGCCCGGCUCACUGGGACUGAGACACUGCCCAGACACCUACGGGUGGCUGCAGUCGAGAAUCUUCGGCAAUGGACGAAAGUCUGACCGAGCGACGCCGCGUGCGGGAUGAAGGCCCUCGGGUUGUAAACCGCUGUCAGUAGUUAGGAAGUCCAUGAGGGUUAUCUCUCAUGGUUGACCGAUCUUCAGAGGAAGGACGGGCUAAGUUCGUGCCAGCAGCCGCGGUAAGACGAACCGUCCAAACGUUAUUCGGUAUCACUGGGCUUAAAGCGUGCGUAGGCGGCUUGGUAGGUGAGAUGUGAAAGCCCACGGCUCAACCGUGGAAUUGCGUUUCAAACCCCCAAGCUCGAGGAAGAUAGGGGUGAUGGGAACUUAUGGUGGAGCGGUGAAAUGCGUUGAUAUCAUAGGGAACACCGGUGGCGAAAGCGCAUCACUGGAUCUUUUCUGACGCUGAGGCACGAAAGCUAGGGUAGCGAACGGG